rnacentral:lncRNA from 1 species
CCCAUCCAGCGAGAGAAACCUAGCUCCCAGAGCCGGUGCAGUCAGUCCCCUCGCCCCUCCCGCCCCUGCACGGGUCCCCCUCUAGCCGUCGCUGCAACCACCACCUCGGUUCCACUCAACCGAUUUUUGCUGCAUGUCAACACUUAUUACCGAUCACUCAUUCUGGGAGAAGACAACCGUCAUAUCAUGUCAUGAAGAUACUCAUGCAGUCCUAUGGAGAAUUUCAUUGGUAAGAAACUGAGCUAGAAUGAACUUGACAGCCUUGUGAGAGAGCCAUCUUAGAAGCAGACCUUCAGCCUCAGACAGCUUUCAGAGGAUUGUAGCCCCAGCUGAAACAUCAACCACAAUCUCAUGAGAGACACUGAACCAGAAUCACCCAGCCAAGCUGUUCCCAAAUUCCUGAGCCAUAGAAACUGUGUGAGAUAAUAAAUGUUUAUUGUUGUUCUCAAAAAAAAAAAAAAAAAA